ACCAUGUGCUAAGCAGGAGAAGCUGUGUGGCGUGUUUUAAGGCUGUGUGAUAACUGAAAAAAAAAACUAGUUACCUUGUGAGCAGUGUGGAAGUAAUUUGUGGAGUGUGUUUUCUGGAGAUACACUGAUGGGUGUUUCAGAGAAUUGAGUAGAGGUAUUCAAUUACACAGAUGAACGAAAGUCUUAGAUGGUUUGGAGCAUCUUAAGGCUUCUGCAAGCGUGUGUGGCAUCUGGCUGUUGGAACCUCAUUGUGACUUCAGAUAAGAACAAAGAUUAAAUUGUAAGAAGGGCUGCUUGUAAGAGCAUACAGUACAUCUGAAACUGCUGAGGCUGGGACGGUUUUUGGCUAUAUUUCCAACCAGAUCAGCUGCUAUAGAAGACCAACUGAAAUCUGAGUGCAGAGACAAGCAAAGGAAUACUGCAAGGUACUUGUGCAAAAUAUUGUAUGCCAGGACUACUAGGCUAUGCCCAGGUCUCCGGAACCUGCGACGACACUCCACUCCAUCAGCCCUCCAUCUGCGCCUUCGGAUCCACCAGCUCUGUCUCCAUCAGUCGGCCCCCAGAUGUCGGCAGCCACACCAUCUACAUCUUGGCUCCUCCCUCCCUCGACUCCACCGUGUAUUGUCAGCACUGGGAUGCUCUGGGUCUGUGCCAUGUGCCAAACUCCAUCCAAGCCACCAGGGCAUCAUCGUCAUCCUCCCAUCACCAUCCCUUCACCACAUCCUGCCAUCAUCCCGCACCUUUGCCUCUCACCAUUCCUACAACAUCUCCUCGUCCACCUCCAAAACCCCCUCCAUCCCUCCCUAAUUCUGUUGCUUGAACUUUAUCAUCUUCAGUCUUUGCACACACAUCUAUUCACUUCUGCACUUAGUUUUUCUGUAAUUUUUUUUUUUCUUCAGAAAAUCGCAUUGUAAUUUUUAUUUAUUCACUGAUGUAAAAUUCUUAACUUUUCAGUAAUACAGGUAUAACUGAAAUGUUCUACAAAUGGAUAAGAGAGCUUUUCCUUAGCAUUUCUUUUUUUUCAUUUUUUUUUUUUGUAUAAUGUUUGUAGUAAUAAACAUUUCAAGUACAUUUUUAAUGCAUUUAAUAGUAUGUUUUUUGUUUUUCAAAGUAUAUAUGCUGCUGUACUUUUUUAAUGUACUUAUGAAUAUUUGUAAUGUACACUAUGUAAUACGUUAAAGUUUUCUAGAUGUCAAAGUGUACGUGUAUAUACUGAAAAAUAUGCUAAUGCAUUUCUAAUGAGCUGAAAUACAAUAUUUGAAGCACAUUAAAACGAUGCUUCAAAUAUACUCUACCUGUACUUUUAAUACUUCAUAAACUACAUUUUAAAUGUAUUUUAAGAAAUACACUUAAAUUGCACUAAAUAUACUUAAAGUGGUUACAAUUUAACACAAUUUCAAUAUUAAAUAUAUUACAAAUAGGUUAAAAUUGAACUUAUAUCUUGAAAUACACUUAAUAUACGUAAAGUUGUUUCAAAAAUAAUACAUUUAAUAUGCACUUAGUAUAGUGAUGGGAAGUUUGGAUCAUUUUACUGACUCGGACCUUUGAGUCUCGUUCAGCAAAAUGAAUGAAUCUUUUUUUUCGAGUCAUUUCGUUCAUUUUAGCAAAAUAUAAUUAAAAUGUUACGUGCUACUUCCCUAACACAUCUACUACUUAUGCAAACGUUGAUCCCACUACAAACUAUAAUGCUAUAAGAAACCGCAAAGAUUCAUCGUUUACCUGGGUCUUGAUUAGCUCACCUCACCUCUUAUCUGACAAGUCUUCAGGUUUGAGUCGUGCGUUCAUCACGUGACAACCCCAUAAGCUAAACCAAUGCAGUCAGAGCCGGAAAGAGAAUUGAUUAGUUCACCUGUUUCGAGUCUUGGGGUUUGAGUCGUUCGUUCUUUUGUCAUGUGACCACUUGCCGGAUCAGUAAAAUACUAUAAAGUAAAACUGUAUUUUUUGUAUGUUGGAUCACAUUUAAGAAUUAUCAUAAAAUUAUCAAAAUAUGUGUAAUAAGCAUUUUCCUAGAAAUAAAAAUGGUUUGUUCA